rnacentral:rRNA from 1 species
AGCUCCAAUAGCGUAUACUAAAGUUGUUGCAGUUAAAACGCUCGUAGUCGGAUUUCGGGGCGGGCCGACCGGUCUGCCGAUGGGUAUGCACUGGCCGGCGCGUCCUUCCUUCCGGAGACUGCGCCUACUCUUAGCUGAGCGGGCGUGGGAGACGGAUCGUUUACUUUGAAAAAAUCAGAGUGUUUCAAGCAGGCAGCUCGCUCUUGCAUGGAUUAGCAUGGGAUAAUGAAAUAGGACUCUGGUGCUAUUUUGUUGGUUUCGAACACCGGAGUAAUGAUUAACAGGGACAGUCAGGGGCACUCGUAUUCCGUCGAGAGAGGUGAAAUUCUCAGACCAACGGAAGACGAACCACUGCGAAAGCAUUUGCCAGGGAUGUUUUCACUG